UUAACAGAUAGAGGCGCGAAGAAAAAGAGUACCGGUUUCGAGGAGGACAUCCGAAGACGAACCGGGAAAGGGUUCUUUGCCGAAGGGCGGUCCGUUGUCAGCGGACUGUUCUGGGCCCGUGUUUAAAAGGCAUGGGACUGUCACGAUUUCGUGGAGCACUAUCCUGAUC
rnacentral:ncRNA from 2 species